UCUUUAUUUUUUUUCCCCUAUUCCUUUGCAAAUCGGCUCCCGAGUUCAUGUCAGAGGCGAAUGCAUCAGAACUGGCUGCUAGGGCAUUGGAUGACCACCUCUCUCGUGCUGUAAAGGACACCCGUUUUUUGGCAGCAGUGAGCUCUCUCGAGCAGCGCAGAAGAGUGCCAGGGAUUAGAGAAAGGAGGAACCCUUUCCGCUGAUAUGGAUGCAUCUCCCUCCGAUGAGAAGCUGGGGGGUCCAGCGCGGUGGCAGAGGUGGAGACAGCAGAAAUUAUGGGAUCGGUGCAGCAGCUCUCACUGGAGAUCUAGGGGGGUCCAGAAGAUCCUGAUGUUAAGAUCCAUAGCUUCUCUUCUCCAUCCCCAUGAGCUUUCUACUGCUGUGACACUUGAUCUGUGGAAGGGCUUCUGACACCAGCUGGAAGUAGGAAUUGCACGUUAUUUCCCUGCAUGGCUGUUAAUACAGCCAAUUGAUCCUGAUUUCCAUCAUCCUGGUUAUCACAGUUUCGAACCAAGAACCCAGAGCCAACCACCCUGCAUGGAAACGUGCCCCAGCUGUCAAUCCUCGUCUGCCGUCUUCAGACCACGGAUAAGACUAUGAUGGAAGACUAUUCUCCUCCACUGCGAGGGGCUGUCCAUGGUGCUGAAGUUGUAGUCUGGAGCCCACCAUGAGGAACGUGUCAUGUUCCUUGAUGCUCUGUCUCAGAAGCUGUGCAGGCAAAAACCAAGGUGCAGAGAUGUCAGGAAUCUGAUUUCCAAAACAACUUGGGAGCCAGGUCUCCGAGGCAUUCAGGAGCAGAAAUCUGGCUCUGAGAGGUGGUCUGCUUUGGGGAAUCUGUGUGCACGCCAGGGGCUGCAUGCCACCCAGUCUAGCCUUAGGAAGAAAUUAAUUUUCAUCAAUACAAUCCAAAUGAUUCACCCUAACUUGUGGAAACGCUGUACUGGAGAAGAAAGAGCUCCCAGUCUCCUCCAUGACUCACUGUGUUCUUGGAUGCGGCCCAUCACAAUGUAUCAGCAAAUCAUGUUAUAUAUGAGAAGGGAAGAGGACGCAGCUGGCGAAGUGCAGGAAACAUUGGAGAUCAUGGCCUGUACUGGUCAGUGCUGGGGAAAGCAUCGUCUCCUUUUCUAUCUAGCCAUCUACCUUGCAUGUAAAAUGUUGCUAGCUUUAGACCCGGAGAGAUGAGCAGUGCUACCAGGCGGGUACGGGAUGCCAACUCAAGGAGCCUGUGUGUUGCACAAGGUUGUACCACGCAAGGUAACACCCGGGCAUUCAUAACUCAGCUAGAGAGAUCUCUGAGCAUUUGAAACCUGAUGCCCAAGUUGCGGAUGAGUAGGAAAGGAGCGCAAUAAAUCCCAGUGCCUUUGGAAGCUGACAGCCCGUUCGGGAUGUGAUCGGAAAAUCAACGGACGCGCUCUCAGGUGCAGCCAGCUUGGAGAGAAGGAUGAGAGUCUAUCAAAGAUAAUGCCAUGUGAUGCGAAUGCACCUAUUUCUGGAUCACCAGCUGGCCUGCUGCCUUGUGAAGGAUGAAUCCCCCGGGCUCCCCUGAGGCCUCUUUGCUGACUCUUCCUCUCUAUCUCCUCAUUUGCUGGCCGCUUCUGCUAACAAACAAACACGGUCUCCUUGCCAAGUUUGCGGGAGAAACGCUCCCCCGUCCUGAUUUCAUCACUGCAGUGCUCCGGCAGAUGAAUAAAAGGAAGACCAGCAGCACGUUGCUCACAAUGGACGACCAACCUUGCAACGCCCGGAGGGACCUCCCACCACGCCGGGCCUGACUGAGUUUGGCCCAUGAGGCAGGAAUUUCUCAGUCUUUCAAGCUUGUUAAGUCUCUCAGAGUGAGUAAAUAAUGGAGAAGGUUUGGAGGAAGUAGUUAUCUACUCUCCUCUUCUGCGUCUCAAAGGAGAGUUUGGUGGAUGAGACUGCUGACACUAUAACCAAGGCGUUAAGAAGGACAACGGCUUUGCCUCUGUCACAUGCUGUAGGAACACAGCAAUUCGUGCUGCUUUAAUUGAUCUGUCUUGAAGUGUGGCUCGUCCUGCACGUAGCUUGCUUCCUUCCUUCCUUCCUUGUCAUCUUUUGGUUGCUCAUCCAUAGUAAAACAUGCUGACCUAUUACGGGGAGGCAAAACACAAUGCUUAGGCGUUACGCCUGAUGGAUUCAAAGUCCUUGUCUUGCUCAUGCCUGGCGUCGUCCCAGUUUUAGAACUUGGUCAUCUCAAAUGUCUGGCUCCAAACCCAAAGUCACUUGGAUAAAAAGAGUUUUAAACUCAC